AUNUAGUGUAGCAUGCCCGUUAGGUGUUAAACUCUGAUUUACUUUGAUAUUUAUGAUGUUGGGAAAACGGGGUGUUACACAGGA
rfam:Medicago truncatula strain A17 chromosome 6, whole genome shotgun sequence.